rfam:Bacillus sp. X1(2014), complete genome.
ACGAUGUUCCGCUGCAUUGAAGUUUAUUGGUAUGUAAGAGCAUCUG